GAUAUACUCCCUCCGUUCCGAAUUACUUGUCUUGGAUUUGUCUAGAUACGGAUGUAUCUAGCACUAAAAUGAGUCUAGAUACAUCCGUAUCUAGACAAAUCUAAGACAAGUAAUUCGGAACGGAGGGAGUAUAAU
rnacentral:pre_miRNA from 1 species